AGCUUCAUUCCAUGAGAAUGGGCACAGUUGAUCAUGGUGUCCAAAAUUGAUAAAUGUGGCUAAAUUGAGACACAGGUUAUGCUUCCGUCACAGUAAAUUUAUUGCAGUAGUGACGAAGAGAUCUGUAACAUUU
rnacentral:snoRNA from 1 species